GUGUCUACUGGUGAGAAUUCACUUGGCAGAGAGAGCCACAUCCAGAAUUCAUGGAGCAACUGGGUUGAAAGAGAAUAUCAGAAAACCCCAGGGAAGGGACUCGCAGCUGAAGGAUAGGGGAGGGUAUCCCGACUUUGCCGUAGGAAGCAGGCACUCUUCCUAAAUCACUUUGGACAUGGCAGAACAGUUACAAAGUCUCUGGAAUCAGGUUUGUAAGAAGCUCUGCUAUUUACUAGCUCGGUGAUGGCAGGACAGCUACCGAACUUUAUGCCUCAGUUUCUUCCUCCAUAAAAUGGGUAUAACAACUGUGUUUAUCCCCUGUAUGGAUUGGGAGUUAAAUGCAAAUAUAGUGCUUAGAAGCACAUUGGCCCACAGCAAAGAGCUCAAUAACUAUGAACAAUUUUAACUGAACGUAUCUUUGCCUCCUCUUGGCUUCUUCAUUGCUCACAUUUGGAAAAUGAGGACACUAGAAGAGAGAUUGUUUCUCGAGAAUCCUCUGAUUGUAAAGCUGUCUAAUUCUGAGGUUUUAAUAAGGUUUCCUAACUGGUCCUGAGGUGUGUGGUAUCUCCCCACAGUCUGGGGAUUAUCACCCCGCCCUUCAGAACAGUCUCUGCUUCCUUUGAGGCAUUCCGGGAUGGAGGCACAGUUUGGGUUCCAGAAUGGAAGCUUCUGUUUCAUUUGUACUCACCUUUAAGGCAGCUGCUGAUCAAAGGGACAAUGGAAAGCCACCCUGGGGUCUAUUUGCUGUCAUACCCACAAGGCUUGUGACCUAAAAAGGCACACAAUAGGGACAGCUUCAUAGGCCUGUGACCUAUGCCCUCAAAGGGGACAUGGUACUGGUUAAGUCCCGUACACAUCGAACGCUCUGCUGUAGCUGUCUUGACAUUUUAAUAAUUUUUGAACAAGAAGCUCCACAUUUUUAUUUUGUGCUGGGCUCCACACAUUGCAUAGCUGGUCAUUUCUGCAUGCAGGUGCAGUCCCCAAGGUCACCACUGUCCAAGUGUGCAUGUGUGUGUCUGUGUGUGGUUGGGACAGAGAGGGAUUCUUUUGAAUUUUAAGUUGCUAUACAUAAGGAGAUGCCUCUAUCAGCACUGUUUGCAGAAAAGAAGCCCAGUUAAUUAUGAGCGGCUUCCAAACCUGGCCCUCUGCACCUAGCAGAUACAGUCAACCCCGCAGCAGCGGCAGCUGGGAGGCCAGAAAGCAGCAAAUGAGCUGACUCAUGAGAAUCUCCCCGUGCACAAUGCAGGGUGGUGAUUUUUCUCUGCCUUACUUCCGUGUCUCCUGCAGAUGAUGUAUGAAUUGCCUUAUUUACCUUUUCCCUCCAAACCUUCUCCUUUAUUAUUUUUAUUAAUGUCACGCCAAACCCGAAAAGGAGUUUCCUUUUCAAAAAAAAAAAAAAAAAAA
rnacentral:lncRNA from 1 species